rnacentral:piRNA from 1 species
AUAGUCCUCACUGGUCUCUGAAG